rnacentral:lncRNA from 1 species
AUGUGCUCAAAUUUGCUAAAGGACUGAAAUAAUCCUUAAAUGGCCUCUCCUGUGGUUGCAAAUCCAUUUUAUUUUUUACUUGUUUGUGUGUGCGAAGUGUUUUCUCAAGUUCAAGGUCUAUAGGUUCAAGAUUGGGUAAUAAUGACCUUCGACCAUGCAUGCAAAACAAAUAAAAUAAAAAAUAAAGAUGGGAACAAAAUAAAUAAAAAUAAAGAAGAGGGAGAAAUUACGAUACUAACCUUAUUGCGCUAUU